rnacentral:rRNA from 1 species
AUUAAACGCUGGCGGCAUGCCUUACACAUGCAAGUCGAACGGUAGCGCGGGGCAACCUGGCGACGAGUGGCGAACGGGUGAGUAAAGCAUCGGAACGUGCCCUGGAAUGGGGGAUAACGUAGCGAAAGUUACGCUAAUACCGCAUAUUCUGUGAGCAGGAAAGCAGGGAAUCGCAAGACCUUGCGUUCUGGGAGCGGCCGAUGUCGGAUUAGCUAGUUGGUGGGGUAAAAAGCCUACCAAGGCGACGAUCCGUAGCGGGUCUGAGAGGAUGAUCCGCCACACUGGGACUGAGACACGGCCCAGACUCCUACGGGAGGCAGCAGUGGGGAAUUUUGGACAAUGGGCGGAAGCCUGAUCCAGCCAUGCCGCGUGAGUGAAGAAGGCCU